rnacentral:tRNA from 1 species
GGGCGGUUAGCUCAGCGGGAGAGCGUCGCGUUGACAUCGCGAAGGUCACUGGUUCAAUCCCAGUACCGCCCACCA